rnacentral:rRNA from 1 species
UACGGGGGAGCAAGCGUUGUUCGGAUUUACUGGGCGUAAAGGGCGGGUAGGCGGCCACCGCAAGUCAGUUGUGAAAUCUCUGGGCUUAACCCAGAAAGGUCAACUGAUACUGCGGGGCUAGAGUGCAGAAGGGGCAACUGGAAUUCUCGGUGUAGCGGUGAAAUGCGUAGAUAUCGAGAGGAACACCUGCGGCGAAGGCGGGUUGCUGGGCUGACACUGACGCUGAACUGCGAAAGCUAGGGGAGCGAACGGG